CAGCCGCCACGGGAAUACGUAGGUGGCAAGCGCUGUCCGGAAUUAUUGGGCGUAAAGGGCUCGCAGGCGGUUUCUUAAGUCUGAUGUGAGAGCCCCCGGCUCAACCGGGGAGGGUCAUUGGAAACUGGGAAACUUGAGUGCAGAAGAGGAGAGUGGAAUUCCACGUGUAGCGGUGAAAUGCGUAGAGAUGUGGAGGAACACCAGUGGCGAAGGCGACUCUCUGGUCUGUAACUGACGCUGAGGAGCGAAAGCGUGGGGAGCGAACAGGAUUAGAUACCCCGGUAGUCCCUGUCUCUUAUAC
rnacentral:rRNA from 1 species